AUGGCACCGACGACGACGGGAGCGGUGGUGGACGCGCGGUUCUGCGCGCCGCACGCGACGGCGUUCACCGUGAGCAAGAAGUCGGAGCGCAACAUGAGCAUCACAGACGAUGCGGAUGGCGGCGCGGCGGUGAUGCGGGUGGAGGGGCAGGCGUGGUGCUGGCCCCGCCGGUCCCUCCUCCUGGACGCGGCGUCGUGCCAGACGGUGGUGACCGUGAAGCGCUGCCCGUCGCUGCUCCCGGUGACCCGGAGGUGGGAGGCGUUCAGAGGGGGCAGCGCGAGCCCGGAGGAGCUGCUCUUCGCCACGGUGUCGCAGCCAUGGGUGUUCUCCAGGGGCGUCGUCCACGUGCACCUCGCCGGCGGCGGCAACCGGAGAUACAGCGAGAGGCGCGUCGACUACGUGGUCGUGUGCGGCGGACGGGACGGGCGCGAGUGCACCGUCUCCCUCGGCAGGGCCAACGGCCCCGCUGUCGCCAAGAUCAACCGCACGACCGGACCGUUGGAUGAGCAGCCGGAGUAUAACGUUAGUGUCAACCCAGGGGUCGACCGUGCUUUUGUCCUGGCGCUCACCGUGAUUCUGGAUGUGGACUUUGUAGUGUGUGGAUGA
rnacentral:rRNA from 1 species